UCUCUGAUAGUAUAUCGGUUAGUACACGCGCCUGUCACUGUGAUGAGCGCUUCUAUUCGCAAUUCGCGCGAAAGCUGGGUUCGACUCCCAGUCAGAGAG